GGGGGAAUUUUCCGCAAUGGGCGAAAGCCUGACGGAGCAAUGCCGCGUGGAGGUGGAAGGCCUACGGGUCGUCAACUUCUUUUCUCGGAGAAGAAACAAUGACGGUAUCUGAGGAAUAAGCAUCGGCUAACUCUGUGCCA
rnacentral:rRNA from 1 species